UACAAAUAUACAUAUAUACACAUUUUCACAUUUAUUUCAAACUUCGUUGAUAUAAUCGAAAACAGUCGAAUCUCGUUACAGUGCUAAUGAAACUUCAAAAUGUUUCGUAUAGGACGCACGAUGUAUUCGCGAAAGGUACAAGCGCUCGAAUACCUUCGUAAACAACUACAAAUUUCGUCAUUGUUCGCAAAGUUCGAUAUUAAAUGUUAAAAUGUCGAAGCUUAAGUGACUCGAACGAUCCUACCUUAUUAUAUUUCCGGGUGAAAUCUUGGAUUUACCGCACACCGUGUGUGCAAUAGUGUGCAUGGAUCGGAUCAGUAACGUACGCUGCCGCGUACAUUGUUUAUUUUCACCGGAGGCAAAACGUAUAGGAUGCUCGACGUGUAUUUACCACGGAUAACGGAACCAUGCCGAUGCUCGAGUCUUCCUCGUUGCGCGUGCGAGUUCGAGCGAGAAAACGGGACAGGCAUAAGGAGAAAGACGACCAACGAUGGAAAGAAACGAGGAAGAAACCCGUAUAGUGUAUCGUCAUCCGAACGAAUCCGGACUCACAGAGAAUUUCUUCGAUCGAAGAUUACAUCCCUCACGCGACGAGCGUUUUUGAUAGGUAACGGUAGUCGAUACGCGACUACGCUCGUCUUCAUCUAUCUGAGAAAUUACGUACAUCGUCUUACGACGGAUUCGAUAUCUCUGACCGUUUAAGCGGAAAUUAGAUCUCAGCCAACUCGACCUAUCACUGAGGAUAUAAGAGAUAAUUAACGCCUGUAGUGGCUGGACCUUGUUAAACUUACAUUAUGUGAUUUUAAGUCUUUCGACUGGUGUGUCGUUAAGCUACUGGGUAUCAUGACAAUUUAGGAUUAGACUACUCAGUUUUGGAACUUUUAAUGCAAUUGAACUUUACUAACGAUUUCUAUUACGGAGGAAGCAAAGUAUAAAAUAAAAUUAAAUACCUGGAAUUUUGGUAAUCUAACGUAAAUUAUUAUAGUCAUCUAUAAGCAAACGACUAAACAUGCAGAAGGUAUAAUUAUUUACGACGGUCGAUACUUUUAAUGCCUUCAAUAUUUUAGUAUUACGACUAGGUAACCUGAAAAUUUUAAAGGGGAUGAAAGAAUCAAACAAGAAUAGAAUUUUUCUUCAUUUCCAUGAAGUGUUAAAUACGAAAAGCAAGUAUUUAAUAUAGUAUUAUCUAUAUUUUGAUAAUAUUUAAUAUUUCCAUCGAAAUAUAAUUUUUAUUUCGGGUCGUAUAGAUGCGAGAAGAACGAUAAUAACUAAUUAUAAUAAUUGAAUUACACACUUGAAAGAAAAUGUUAUUGAUAAAUAAGACGAAGCUUCAAGAUCUCCUUUUCUUCCGGUAGCACGGGCAACAACCGGAAGAAAGGAACAAAGGCGGCUAGAAGAAACAUUUAAAGUGUCCAGCCAAUAGGACCUACACUUUUAGUAGCAGGUAUAAGAGACGUGAAUUAAGAAUUCCCUGAAAGUCGGGAUGGUCUCGAAUAAACAACUCUUCAGACUUGCACCAGUUUGAAAAGAGAGUUUAAUAAGUUGCUCCACAAAUAUUUUAAAGAAAAAGUUUAAUAAAAGUUUCCCUAUUACGCGCUCGUUCGAUAAAAUAUAUUCUUUUUUUAUAUCCUUACCUCCGAGAGAUCGUAUACACGCGCGCUCAAAUAAAACGAGAACGAUUUUAAUCCAAGUGUGUCGGUUGCAAGUUCGUAAUUAUUUAGUUUUUCAUUUUCUUGCGUUGAAAACCUUCCGAACUGCGUGAUAAAAUUUUCAUGUUUAGGGAAAAUUAAAAAUACAAAAAGCUCGAAACCAUGUUCAUUUAAGUCUAUAGCAAAACAAAUUUCUCAUUAGUAGGGGAUAAUACUACUCGUACAAUUGGUUUACUGCAGAAAUAAAACACAGAAAUAUUUUCAGAGAUUAAACCGCAAAUAGUAUAUGAUAUUUAAAAGAGGAUCUUAAGAAAAUUUUGGGAACAGAUUGAGAAGAUGCAGAACCAAAUUUCCUUAAAAAUUUAAUUAAAUUGGAUGCAGUUAUUCGGAAUAAUACUUAUUAUACAUUAAUUAAUGGUAUUAAUUAAUGGUAUUGUAUAAAUAUUCCUGUCUCGACGAAAUGUUACCAUUAUAUGUAUCACAUUAUAUAUAUUUAAA